CAUUCUAGACUUUUCAGUGCCCAAGGAGACAGGGAAGAUCAAGAUGAAGCAGGUGACAUGGAUGAGGAAGAUGAAGAUGAUGACAAAGACGUUACUAGCACAGUGCCUGGCCCAAAGUGGAUGGAUGCUCAUACAAAGUUAGCUUUCCAACCUUGUUUGAGCUAUGAUGGAGGUGGCCAGGACACCGUGAUACAAGGUGUCCAGUGGUCAGCAGCAGUGGCAGCAGCAUGGAGGGAUGAGAGGCACCUGUGUCAAAUCUCUUCUUCUUCAUUGGCCUUGCUCCAACGGUGACAGCAGUUGGCCGUGAUGCCCAGGAGGAAGUUGGUGGCUACAGAAGCGAUGGAGACCACGAAGCCCACAAAUGCGAUGAAGAGAUAUACAGACUACAAUGUCAAGAGUGUAGUCUCUGGAGCUACCAUAUCACUUGACCAUGAAUCUCUCCUACAUCUCAUCAGUUGUGUGAUUAUGGAUAUUUAGUCUCUCUGUAUUUUGCUUCUUCUUUCUUGUUUUAAUCUAUCAAGUGACAAUAAUCAUAUCUGCCUUCUGGAACUGUGACCAGGAUUCAGAGAGUUAAAGCACACCAUCGUUUCUGAUGCAUGAUAAGCAUUAUGUGACAUGCGUGCCUUUUAUAAUGAUCAUAGUUGGGUCUCUCAAGUGUCAGCUGGAGGUUCAUAUCCUGUACACAGACUUCUGAGGAAAGAAACUGCUCAUUUGGUGGCAGCGUUGUGGAACUGUACUUUAGGAUUACUUCAGUAAAUGCAUGAUGGUUAUCAGUGGUCUAAUCUUAAUUUGUCUUGGAAGUAAAGUAUGGCAUUUGGGGGCAGUUCCACCGAGAAAUCUGGGCAGUAGCUUCAGAGUAAUGCCAUAUACCCUUGGUAAGGAUGAAAAUAUGAACUGAGCUCUAACCUUCAGCAAAUCCUGUUUAUUUUUUUUCCUUUCUGUCUCUCACGUGUCACCUUUAUAAAAAGAGAAUAAUCCAAUCUAAAUUUUCCAAGC